AUGUGGGGUGGAGGACAAGAAUUAUUUGACAUUGAUGAACCGAUACCUCUUCUUCCACGAGCCAAAGUGCAGGUUGAUGAAGAGGAGAACCGCCGACAGAAGGAGGAGAGCGUCGGCGAACUCCUGAAGACUGUGGAGAAUGUGAGCAUAGCGAUUCCUGAACGGUUCGCAGAUCCGCCAAGCAUCUGCGAGGUCCCCGAGGAGCUCACGGAGGGCAGCAAUGGCGCCUACAUCCCCAAGGUCGUCUGCAUCGGCCCGCUCUUCGACAGCAAGCGCAAAACGGACAGGAUGGCCCGGCUGGAGCACUACAAGUGGUGCUGCGUCCGCAAGUUCAUCGUAGGGGGCCUGCACCCACCUGCUGCUGCCGGGACAUCGGAGUCAGAGGCCUGGUCGCCGGCGGUACACGAGCCGCUGCUUCGCGAAUGCAUGGACACGAUGACGCGGCUCCUGCCGCGAAUUCGUGCCUCCUACAACAGAAUGUCGUCCUCCAAGGACACGAGCGACGAGGAGCUGGCGACGAAUGUGCUUCUCGACGGCUGCUUCAUCCUCCAACGCCUGCUCAAGUACGCCCGAAUGGCCAAAAGAUCUUCCAGGGAAGGAAACGACGAGGACGAUGACUGGGCCCAGCUAAUCGGCCGGAAAUGGGUCUGGGGAACCGUGAAGCGCGACCUACUUGUGCUUGGAAACCAGGUUCCCUUCUUCGUCAUUCAGAAGCUGUUCAAGCACCUGGGGAGAAAGAGCAAGAGCAACAUCUGUGAUGGCGAGCGUGACGGUGACAACGACAUCCUCCUCUACGACGGCCUCCAGCUAUUUAGCUCGUUCCAUCCUCGCCCGCUGCACGCCUCGCCCAUCGCCAGGCACGACGUGCACCACCUCCUCCACCUGUUCUACCUCUCCAUCGACCUCCCCCGCUCCUCGCCUUGGCACCGUGACUCCACCCGCGGCCAGGGGCCCCCGCAGAGAAAGUCCGCGCUGCCGCCAGACCUAACGUGGUGGGCGCCGAGCGCCAAGGAUCUGGACGCGGCUGGCGUUCGGAUCCGUGCACGCGAUGAUGGCACCGCCACCAGCUUCCUCGACUUGAAGUUCCACCGAGGCGUCCUGGAGAUCCGCCGCUGA
rnacentral:rRNA from 1 species